GAAAUGGGAAUAAUACCUCUCUUGGAGGUUUUUCCAUGAAGAUUAAAAACAAUAUAUUUAGAAGAAUGCAAACAUUAGUGUAUGUAAGUUCCUAGAACUCUGCUACCCCAACUGUGUUCUGUGGACCACCAGCAUUGGCAGCACCUGGGGGAAUCUCAGGUCCAAACUUGUGAAUCAAAGUUUGUAUUUGAACAAGAUCCGCAGGGGAUUCAAAUGCAUGCUAAAGUUUAAGAAGCAUGCCUGGAGGAGGUUUGGCAUACAAAUUACUUGGUAGUCUGGGCUUUCUCAGUGGGACUGAGGCAAAGCCAUGGUCAGAGUCUGAGCUGGA
rnacentral:lncRNA from 1 species